UACGUAGGGUGCGAGCGUUAAUCGGAAUUACUGGGCGUAAAGUGUGCGCAGGCGGCUUGGCAAGUCGAGUGUGAAAUCCCCGGGCUUAACUCGGGAAUUGCGCUCGAAACUACCUGGCUAGAGUGUGGCAGAGGAAGGUGGAAUUCCACGUGUAGCGGUGAAAUGCGUAGAGAUGUGGAGGAACACCGGUGGCGAAGGCGGGUCUCUGGGCAGUAACUGACGCUGAGGAGCGAAAGCGUGGGGAGCGAACAGG
rnacentral:rRNA from 1 species